rnacentral:rRNA from 1 species
UACAGAGGUCUCAAGCGUUGUUCGGAUUCAUUGGGCGUAAAGGGUGCGUAGGUGGCGCGGUAAGUCGGGUGUGAAAUCUCGGAGCUUAACUCCGAAAUUGCAUUCGAUACUGCCGUGCUCGAGGACUGGAGAGGAGACUGGAAUUCAUGGUGUAGCAGUGAAAUGCGUAGAGAUCAUGAGGAAGACCAGUGGCGAAGGCGGGGUCUCUGGACAGUUCCUGACACU